rnacentral:rRNA from 1 species
CCCUUAGAUGCUCUGGUCCGCACGCGCGCUACACUGGUCGAUGCAACGAGUUUCUUUCCUUGGCCGACAGGCCUGGGCAAUCUUUGAACAUCGAUCGUGAUCGGGAUAGAUUCUUGUAAUUUUUGAUCUUAAACGAGGAAUUCCUAGUAAACGCAAGUCAUCAGCUUGCAUUGAUUACGUCCCUGCCCUUUGUACACACCGCCCGUCGCACCUACCGAUUGAAUGGUCCGGUGAAAUCUCCGGACUGGCGUGAGUCGGAGCAAUCUGACAAACACCGGAAAGUUGAUUAAACCUUACCAUUUAGAGGAAGGUGAAGUCGUAACA